rnacentral:rRNA from 1 species
UCAAAAACAUCUCUCCUUGUAGAAAUUAGAUUAGGAGUAGUCCCUGCCCAGUGAUUAAUUUUCAACGGCGGCGUUAAGUUUUGAAGUAGCAUAAUAAUUCGUCCUUUAAUUGGGGACUAGUAUGAAUGGGUUGACGUAUACCGGCUGUCUCGGGGGAACUACCAUAAAUUUUCUUUUUAGUGAAAAGUCUAAAAUUUGCUUAAAAGACGAGAAGACCCCGUCGAGCUUAGUUAGUUGGGUGAGGUUGGGUCAUCUAGUGAUGGUUUGUUGGGGCAAUAGGGGAGAGUAGAACCUCCCUUAAAUUAUUCGUGGAUCCCCUAAGUAGGGAUAAAAGGAAAAAGUUACCGCGGGGAUAACAGCGUAAAACAGCUUAAUAGGCCGUAUUGAAGGCUGUGAUUACGACCUCGAUGUUGGAUUAGGGUUUACUGCUUGGCGCAGAAGCUUGGCUAGGUGGGACUGUUCGUCCCUUGAUUCCCUACAUGAUCUGAGUUCA